UGGGGGAUCGUCUAGCGGCAGGACCCGAGACUUUGGAUCUCGGUACGGAGGUUCGAAUCCUCCUCCCCCAG
rnacentral:tRNA from 1 species